ACCAAUUAUAACAAGAAAAGGAACUUGGUCAAAAGCAGUGAAGUACAAUUACCAUCACUUCGACGUCUUCUGAGAACAGCCUUGAUGAAUGUUUGGCAGGAACCAGAAAAGCACAAGAAGUAAUUAAUAAUGAUCUCUUAAGAGAAGAAAUUGUAUUUAUACAGCUUCACUAUGGCUUAUCUUAUAGUAUUGACAUGGGUAUCAAAUCAAAGCCAAUAAACUGAACUGCUAGUAGCAAGAAAAAUACGCUAAUAUUUCAGGGCUAAGUUUAUAGCAUGUUAGUUGAGGGUAAGUAAUAGCGCUGUACUCAAGAGGAGCGUUGGUAAAGAACUGAAUCUCUUAGCUCAUACAACUAACAGGUUCGUCUAACGUUUGGACUAAACUAUGCUACAUAAUUUAAAGGUAACCUCGACAGAGAAUUAAAUUUACCUGGUUCACUGUAAAAUAAUUAUGGUAAAAUGUUACGGAGAAUAUGAAUAUUGUUAAUAAAUCAUACUGAUUUGAACAUUUUAACCGAUGAAACCGUUGCAAUUUCAUCUGCGCCAUCUCUUUCUUCUAAUUUCAUUACUUUUUUCUUUCUUUCUUUUUGAAAGAUAAAAACUCUUAUAAAAAAUGCUUUAAAUUAUUGAAAAAAGGAGAGAUUUUGUCAAAAGGUCCACAAAAAAUAGAAGGAGCUAUAGUAAAGCUGGACUCAAGAAUAAUAAUAAUAAAAAGGAAUAAAUUAUUCGUGAUUACUGAAUGCGUUAAAUACUUGAGUGAACUUACUUUAGUUUAAUGUUACUUAUAGUAGAAGUAAGUCGAAUGAAGCCAAAUUCUGGAUUACAACAAUUAAUUUUUGUUUAAAAAAAAUUAUCGAAGUUUAGAAGAAAUUGGAAAAGUUACGUAGUUAAUACCAAUUUGACAGGAAUCCCAAUUCACUAGAUACGGACCAACAUUGGAAUAAAUGGAAGUUUAAUUACAAAAAAUUUCUUGAGCCUUUACCAGAAUUGCAAAAAAAUAACAAAUUAAGACUAAUGAAACACUAUGUGAAUCUGUCGAUAUGAAUUUAUUGAAGCAGCUGAAAGCUAUGAAGAGGCACUUACAAUAAGAGGGAAGACCAGUAGUUGGAUCAACUUCUUCAAGCCUUGAACUUAUUGGCGAAGGAUUGUAAAUUUGGAGCUGUAAGCGUUCUUUAUAAUACUAAUGAAAAUAUAACUGAUGCAUUCAUUUGUGGUCUUCCAUUUUUCCAAAUCGGACAAAGAAUAUUGGAGAGCGCUUCGAUCUUUUUAAACGAGUCGUUUGAUUUAACCAAAUCUUGAGUAAUUGCAAUACAACAAUCAGCGACCUAGGAUUCUGUACAUGUGGCUAUAGUCGCAAAAGAUGAAAGGAAGGUAUCAAAAAACAGUAUCUAGCUGCCUGCAAGUAAUGCCACUUGUAGGAAGUGCACUAAACUAAGACAUUUUGCCCGUAUGUGCAAAUCUGGAAUUCAAAUUCGGAACCGUACGACACGAGAGGGUGAACUGAACGUAUACUUUGUGGUGUCCACAUCGCUAAGAAAAUUAGAUAAAUCAAUAGUCAAGAUUUGUAUUAAUAGAUUCUCUCGGUUCUGAUAGUUUAAUUGGCCUCAGUAAAGUCAGAGAGAUUAAUCUAAAAAUGUAAAAGUCAUACAAAUUAAUUGGGAUGGCUUCUAAUGUUUUCGAAAAUUAUGUGCAGGUCGCAUAUAAUGCAGAGUUCUAUGAGAAUUCCAAGUUUUUCUUCCUUCAGAAUUGUUUACCGAUGUCAUCUUGGCAUUGGAUUAUUUAGGCCUUCUUUCAGGAUGCACAUGAUUCUGGCAGGGAAAGGUAGCCUUUUCCAGUUAUUAAUUCGGUGUGUAUCAAGGGUAUUCCUUCACCUGCAUUGUUUCUAAACCUUCUCCCAAAUAUUAAGACUAUGAUAACAAAGUGACGAAAAAUUUCAGUAGACGAUAGAGUUUAUUUAUCAAGAAGAGCAGAGCUUAAUGAACGAGGAAAUUACGGAUUCCACUACGUCACCAUGGAGGGCUCAAGUGCUGAUUACUGAAAAGGAUAUGUUAUGGUAAUCCAUUAUUUACAAACUGUAAAUAAAUUUACCUUGUUAGAUGGCUAUUUUCUCCGGCAAAUUGAAGAGGUACUACGCAAAGUGGCCGCCAACAAAAUUUUCACAACGGUGGAUCUUAAAAGGGCUUAUCCACAGGUUGGGAUUGAAAAGAGUGAAACAGAAUAUACCACUUUUGAAACCUGUGGUCAAUUAUAUUAAUUUUGUCAUAUACAAUAUGGGGUCACAAAUAGAUUCUCUAGUUUUCAGUGUGUUAUAUAUUUCAUUAUAGCCGGAGAUAAUCUGGUAAAAACUUAUGUAAAGAUUGAUGACAUUACUAUAUUUGGAAAUGAUCAAAAUGACCACCAUAAGAAUCUUAAAUCUUUCAUGAUAGCUGUAGAUGGGUAUGUUUGAAAAUAAAUGCGAAUAUUAAAUUACAAAAAUUAAGCUUUUGGGUUGCCCGAUAGAAAAUGGUGUGAUAAAACUGAAUCCAGAUAGACUGGAGUCACUUAUGAGAAUUCCUGAACCUAGGAGUAAGAAAGAGUUAUGACAUAUCUUCAGGGAUGUUUGUGCAUUAUUUCUCGAAGAAGUUACAAUCUAUGGUAGACUCACAAGAUUCCUCUUGAAAUGUAGAAGCGAAAGAGGUUUUUUUCAUCAAACAGAAGAUACUAGAUGAUGACUCUUAGGACAAUGUGUGGAAUUCAAUCUAACAAAAAAUCGUGUUACUUCAUCACUCUUGGCAUUAAAGAAUAGGUCAUUGCGAUGAAGUGCAACAUAAUUACAUCUUUGUGGACACAAGAAGAAAACUUGGCUCCCAAUACCAUUACAGUUGUGUUAAAGAAGAACUCUUUUACUUCUAAAAAGAUGUUGUCAUCCAAUUUCUGAGGAAUUUUCUUGUCAAGGUUUUUAGACUUAAUCACCUUGUAAAUCCCUUUUAUAAGCAUUUUUCUUAAAAUGAUUCUCACAAAUUCUAGGAUAUUUUUGUAAGGGGUCCUUUCGAUGAAAAGCACUUUCCCAUUUUUUCCUCCUUGAGGGAUCAUUUGGAAAAUGAUGAUAAUUUAUGUUGUUAGGAGAAUCACAAAUGGUAACUGCACAACUGACAGUUUCAUUGCAUGAAUACAUUUUACUUUUUCGGAAUGGCAAAUAGGUAUUAUUAUCGUAAUAAUAAUAAUAUAUUUAUUGUAAAAUGUAAAUAAGAUAUAAUAUCCUCCAAGGAUACCAAACUUCUCCCUCUUGGCCCAAAACCUGGUCACAGUUCUUAAUUUUGGCCUUUUGUGAAUUUGUAUUAGGUACCCUUUCUAUUCUCUAUGACUUUAAAAUCUUCUUCUCUUGCCUGACAACAUCAAAUUGAAAAUUCUAGCAAGCCCCAUAACCAUGAUGUUCUAACCUUGUAUUUAUAUUAACUUUGGGACAACACUGAAUUUUAUAGUAAAAAAACACUUACCGAUUUUGGCUCAUAGGCCAACAAUUUUGAGUGACAUUUUAAUAUAAAAAUGUAGACUAACAGGGACUCUACCAAUUCUAAUGGAAUCAAAAAUACCUGUGCGAAGAAAAUACUUUGGUCCAUCACUAAAUCAGAUGAUCUAUGUGACGCAGCUGAAACUAUAAACGAUUAUAGCCAUACUUUCUUUUCUUCUGAAAAAUCCUCUAAACCCGCGUCCUCAAGAAUGAAACUCCUUUUAUUCAGUGGUAUUCAAAAGCAACAGUUAAGUCAUAUAAAAGUAAUUGAUACCAUAAUAUCCGAACAUACUGUACAUUAAAAUUAAUUCGAUACAUUUCUCAAAUGAUAUAGAUAAAAAAAGCUUUGAAACUCAGUUCAUCCCCAUUAGAUCUACCCAAAGUCAUUGAUGGGAUCGUGGAAAUAAUUGAGACCACGGAAGGCAAUGUUGAAACAGGAUGCAAAGACUUCUAUGAAGUACAAAAGAUGGUGUCAAAGAUCAAAGCUAUAUGCAAACAAGUUGGAGCCCGAGAAGCCACCAAUAGUAAUAGCAAAAUAGAUAUCAUUGAAAAUAUAAAUAAAGAGGACAUUUCGGCUCCUGGAAAGAAAUUCAAACUGUAUUUUGACCUAGCACUUAGAACUUAAAAAUGAAAAACUUAUUUCAAUCAAGGCUACAAUGAGUUAUAGAAGAAGAAAAAAGGAAAAGCAAGGAUGUGUCAAUCAUGUUAGCAAGUGGAAAAAUAUCUGAAGAUCCUACAAAAAUAUGUACAGAAAUAAAAUAGUUAUUCUCCGACCUGUAUCAAAGGGUACGAUUGUAUAACACUUUAAGAAAUGUUCAAGAUGUACCAAUAGAUCUGCUUACUUCUGUGAAGAACUGAGAUGUAAUGUAGACCGUAGAUUCACAAUUCUUCCAGAUGAUAAUUAUUUCAUUGAGAAACAUUUAGCGAUACAAUAAAUCAUAAAUACAGUGAGAGAAAAAGCUAGAUCUAUUAAAACUCAUGGACCAUCUGGUUUUGGUUUUGAAUUUUAAUAAAGAUAUAUACUUUAUAUUGCUCCUAUUUUAUUACAAUUUUACGAUAACAUAAGGAGAGUUGCAUAUUUUUCUGAAUAUGCGUCUGAUGGAAAUAUACUGAUUCCUAAAAAAAUAUAGAUACAUAUAGAUAAAUUUAUAAAACAUCAUAUGACCUCUUACUAUGCAAAACUGUCUUUACAAUAUUUUUAAAUACAUUAUUUUAAAUUGCAUAAACAACAUCUUGGAUAAAAUUUUAUAUGAAUCUCAGUAUUGUUUCCUAAAAGAUUAGCAAAUGGACUGUAUUCCUUUAACUCUACAAGCGUGUAUAGAAAGUUACCAGUGUUGUCGUUAAUGACCGUGGAUUUUUGCCAAGCCGUUUGUGACUUUAUCACAUGAAUACAUUAUCAAAACGCUAUACAGAAAGGGUUUUGAAGACUAUAUCAUUCGAAUGGUUGGCGUAAUCAUAGCAUGAAAUAUAACAGCGAUAAGGUAUGGAAGCCAGUUAAGUUAAUUUGAGAAUAAAAGGGGCGUCUGCCAGGGUAUCCUCUGUCUGCAACCUGACAUAACUAAAAUUUCUUAGCUAUGCAGACGACCUAACUAUGGUGUUUUCAGGAAGUGCUAUCAAAACACUUAAAAAAAUUUCUGACAAAUCUGGUCUUUUUGUCAAUGAA
rnacentral:lncRNA from 1 species